GUUUAUAGAUUAUUAAUGGAUACUUCUAAGAUUAAGAUCUGAUAGUAUUAAGUUUGAAUUAUGAUUGCUAGGACAACGUGAAGAUAUUGGUAUCUCGUUGGUUGAUUAAAGACAUAGUUAGAAAUUAUUGAGAAUAAGUUUUCUAGAUUAGCUAGGAGGGGUGGAAUAAAAUAAACUCAAGCUGAGUUGGGAGAUUGAAGAGUUUUGAUGUCUAGAUUUUAUUGUUUAUGAAUAUUGUAAUUGUGGAUUAUUUAGAAUGUGUGAUUAUGUUUAAUUAUUUUCUUUUUGGGGAUUAUUUUGGCAAAAAUAAGAUUAUAUUAUGCUAUA